rnacentral:rRNA from 1 species
GACGAACGCUGGCGGCGUGCCUAAUACAUGCAAGUAGAACGCUGAAGAGAGGAGCUUGCUCUUCUUAGAUGAGUUGCGAACGGGUGAGUAACGCGUAUGUAACCUGCCUGGUAGCGGGGGAUAACUAUUGGAAACGAUAGCUAAUACCGCAUAAAAUGGAUUAUCGCAUGAUAAUCCAUUGAAAGUUGCAAAUGCAUCACUACCAGAUGGACCUUCGUUUUAUUAGCUAGUUGGUGGGGUAACGGCUCACCAAGGCGACGAUACAUAGCCGACCUGAGAGGGUGAUCGGCCAAACUGGGAAUGAGACAAGGCCCAGAAGCCUACGGGAGGCAGCAGUAGGGAAUCGUCGGAAAGGGACGGAAGUCUGAACGAGAAACGCCGAGUGAGGGAAGAAGGGUGUCGGAUCGUAAAGCUCUGUUGUAAGAGAAGAAAGAGUGUGAGAGUGGAAAGUUCACACUGUGACGGUAUCUGACCAGAAAGGGACGGCUAACUACGUG